rnacentral:rRNA from 1 species
CUGCUGCCUCCCGUAGGAGUCUGGUCCGUGUCUCAGUACCAGUGUGGGGGACCUUCCUCUCAGAACCCCUACGCAUCGUCGCCUUGGUGGGCCGUUACCCCGCCAACUAGCUAAUGCGCCGCAUGCCCAUCCUCCGCCGGAAUCGCUUCCUUUUAACACCCGUGGGAUGCCCCACUGGUGUACCACGCGGUAUUAGUCCGGAUUUCUCCGGGUUAUCCCCCUGCGGAGGGCAGGUUGCAUACGUGUUACUCACCCGUGCGCCGGUCGCCGGCAG